GUAUAACAGCCACCCCUCCCCUCUUGACUUCUAUGGGACUAGUCAGACAAUAAGGAUUGCUCAUGCAGACCAUAUCAGCAGAGAUCAGAUAGGAGCAGCAGCUCCAUUGCAGAGAUGCCCGCGUCUCCAUUUUUACAACUCUUAACAUCAUUAAAUUCACGCACAGCUGCAAGCAGAGAGGAGAGGCAAUGCAUCAGGAGCGAUGUAGUCUGGCCGAGGAGUCAGCCCAUAGAGGAGAAUGGAGACUUAGGGUAUCCGAACAACAGCUCCCAUGAG